CCUCACUCUCCCGCUGGGCUUUUUUUUUUUUCUGUGGUCUCUCCCGCUGUCUCCCUCUCCCUCUCCCUCUCUCUCUCUCUUCGAUCGACCCACCACCAUAGACCCACCGAAUCCCAGUCGCUCCUCUCUGGCAAUCCCGAUUGGACACCAUUAACACCACCGACCGGCACAACGAUCACCACUGUAACAACCACUGUUCGAGGUUCCCAGAGUUCGAAUCGAUGGCAUGUAGUUCUUCUUCACCCCAAACGGUACGAGUACUUCUCAGGUUUGGGUUUUUCUCUUUCCAAGGGAUUUCUUCUAUUUCCGAGCACCGCUAAAGUAGUGGAACAGCCGAGGUCAAGGACUCAAAGAUUGUGAAGGAUGCCAAUCUAGCCUUUAACUCCUUUCAAAAGUCUGCAACGACUUGCCGACAUGGAUAACGUGACUAUUUUUGGCCAGGUAAGAUGUUCUAUAAUUUUGUAAUGAAACAAAUUGCUUUCAUAUAAUUUUCCAAUAGCACAGUUUUAUUGCUCAACAGAGAUACGUGAAUUGAGGAAAAUGGUAGCCAAGUUUUCUUUUUCUAUUUUAAUAGGUACAACACAGUUUUAUAACAACUUUGAUGUUAUGAACUCUACUCUGCAAUUAUUAACAAAAAAAUCGAAGGCAAGGAGAAAUGGCUCAACAAAGACAAAAUGCAACCACAAAAGGCAAGGAAAAAGAUAAGGCAAUUCGUUCCAACGGAAAAGAGAAAAAUUGGGUAUGAUUCAAAGAGUUGAGUAGGUCAAUAAUCUAUCAUAUUUAUGGGACUAUGCGAACAGAAAGAUCAUUCCAUAUAAUA